rnacentral:rRNA from 1 species
GGACUACUGGGGUUUCUAAUCCGUUUUGCUCCCCACGCUUUCGUGCCUCAAUGUCAGUAGCAGAAUAGUUAACUGCCUUCGCCGUUAUUGGUGUUCUUCCAUAUAUCUACACAUUUUACCGUUCCACAUGGAGUUCCGUUAACCUCUCCUGCACUCGAGCCGGACAGUAUUACCAGUUUCCACGAGGUUAGGCCUCGAUUUGCCACUGCCAACUUGCCCGGCCAUCUACGCACCCUUUACGCCCAAUAAUUCCGGAUAACGUUCGCCACCUACGUCUUACCGCGGCUGCUGGCAC